ACUAUUGAACAACUUCAUAACAAUAUGAAACUUAUCCUGCUAGAACUAGUAACAAGAAAAUGACUUUCUCCUAAAUAUAAGCUUACACCAACAUUGACUAACUAUUGGUACUUAACGUAAAUGAUUUAACUGUAAUAACCAACCUCUAGCAAAUCUUACAACCACCAACGUUACCCUAACACUAGAAUAUUUUAGGAAAGAUUAAAAGAAAAAGAAGGAACUCGGCAAAACAUUAACCCCGCCUGUUUACCAAAAACAUCGCCUCCUGAAUAACAUAGGAGGUCCAGCCUGCCCAGUGACCUUGUUCAACGGCCUCGGUAUUCUGACCGCGCGAAGGUAGCAUAAUAACUUGUUCUUUAAAUAGGGACUAGUAUCAACGGCAUCACGAGGGUUAUCCUGUCUCCUUUUUCUAAUCAGUGAACCUGACCUCUUCGUGAAGAAGCGAASAUACGUCUAUAAGACRAGAAGACCCCAUGGAGCUUUAAACAUAGAAACAAUUUCUUUAUUAUAUAACCYUAAAAAAUAAGAAAGUCUGUUAGCUAGUUUUCGGCUGGGGUGCCCAAGGAGAACAACCCAACCUCCCUGACGACCUGUAUCCGAGAGUAACAACUCAAAGAAACAAUAAAUUGACGUAAAAUGACCCGAUUAUUAAUAAUCGAUCAACGAACCAAGUUACCCUGGGGAUAACAGCGCAAUCCAUUUCAAGAGCCCCUAUCGACAAAUGGGUUUACGACCUCGAUGUUGGAUCAGGGUAUCCUGGUGGUGCAGCAGCUACUAAAGGUUCG
rnacentral:rRNA from 1 species